CCCCCCCCGUACCCAGUGAGUACCCAGUACUCUUGAGCCACAGCCACCCCCUUCCCCCCCCAUUUCUCACUGGUGUCCCUCACUCCCAACCUACAGGCUCCCUUGUUCCCUGCGGUGCCCCUCGCGUCUGACCUGCACCCCAGUGGUGCUCCUCACUUCCAACCCUCAAGACCCCAUUUUUCAGUGGUGCCCCUCACUCCUGUUAAAGAGUACCAGCCCAAAUACUGAGCCCUGCGGGACUCCACUGGUCACCCUGCGCCACGUUGAUUUGCUCCCAUCAACUAGUACUCUUUGGGUCUGACCCUGUAGCCAGUUACCUAGCCAUCAGACCAUAAGGCUGCAGUUGGGCACCCUCCCCAGGUGGUGGGACAAAAGCUAAGGGCUGGCAGGGACACACAGCUCUGGAGGUGAGGGACAGACCAGCUCCCUGCUGCUCACUGACUUCAGGAGGCCAUGGGGCAGGGAGCAGCAGGAAUGGCCAGGAGGGUGCCUGCUUGUGAAACAGGCCCCUGCCUCUGGCUCCAGGAGGGCAGGCUGGGGUGGGCCUGCUGUGGGCACAGGCAUGCAAGUGACAGGCAGCCUUCAGCACUUGGAUUCAUUGCACCUGCGGCCUGUCCCUGCGCAAGGGGCCCAUGCAGCUCUGGGAUGGGCAUGCCCCUCUCAGGAAUGUCCUCGCAUGAGUCUCAGGGACCGCAGCUCGUCAAAGACCCCUGGCUGGAGACUGGAGAAGAUGUUCCCUGACACAUUGCUGGACGAGAGGAGAUAAAAGCCUGGUGAGUGGUGAAUUGCCUGAUGCUCUCGGGUCUGAUGCACAAAUGCCCGGGUGAGCCUUGCUCACUGGAGGGGCAGCCUGUGUAACAGGGGCCCUGAGUGAGCACCCCCUGGCUCAGAAGCAGCAGGUCCGAACCCACUUGAAAACCAGGUCCCUCCCACGCUACCUAAUGUGGGUCCCCUAGAGCGGUGGGAAAGGACUUGUGGCCCACGGCAGCCAGCGCCACUAUCCAGCCCUGCACACAGCAGGCACAAGUCCAGGGACCCUACUCUAUGCUGGCAGCACAGGAAGGCAGAAGGGCCCUGGGCACUGCUGAGCCUGGGGCAGACAUCCUGACAGGCUGCAGUGCCCCUGGCAGCUCCUUGCCAAGGGUCCUGCCUGCAGGUGGGAGCCUCCCUGCUCCUUACAGUCCCCGAGAGUGAUGAGUGCAGGCAGAUGCCAGUGUUGAGGCAGCCAGUGUGGUGCUUAUUGGAGAGGUCUUUGGGAAUGAGUGGGGCCAGUGGGAAGGUCUGCAUGAGCGCUGAGACUGCAGCGCCUGGCACCACCCUGGGCACAGGCCUGCACACGCCUGGGGGACCAGGGAGGGAGCAGCAGGGAGGACACGGGGAGACUUCUGUGCUGGAGUGGAGAGUGCUUGAAGAAUGCGAACACAAAUGCUUCAAUAAACGCGAUUUCUAACCUUAAAAAAAAAUCUUUUCUCAGUUGGAAAAUAGUGUGAUGCUUUGGUAACAGUGUGGGACUGUGGUGAGUGUUUUGUGAGGACAAUUGUGGUGAUUUGUUUGUGGUGAUUUGGGAUCUUUUGGGGGGAAAUUUGAUAUUUCUGUGGGAAACUUGAUUAUUGCUUUUCCCCCCCCAACUUCUUGUGCCAGGUGUCUGUGGCAAUAUGGUGAUACUUGUGUGGAAAAUGGUGUGGUGAGACAUGAAGUGUGUGGUGAGAUGACGACUUCUUUUCACAUGCAAGAUUGUGUGCUGAUUCGGGACUGUUUUAAGAGUCAUGUGUGGAAUGUGGGGAUUCAGUAAUGUUGAGUGGAACUAUAGGGAUGUUUUUCUGUGAAAAGUGGUGAUUUUGUGCUCUCCUGUGUGUGGACUUGGUGUGGAAAUGUGUGUGGGGAUAUGGUGCUCGUUGUGCGAAGUGGUGUGCUGAUUUGGGAACUGUGCGUGGAACAGAGUAGGUGAAUGUGCAGCGAUGCAGGAACUUUUUGUGAAAGAAGCAUGGAAAUACGGUGAGAGCUGUGUGGAAAACCGGUCAGAUGUUAACUUGGUAAAUCUGGGGACAGGACGGUGGCUUUCUUGUGCGGCAAACGGGUGAUCUUGCGGCGGGGCAGGGAAGCGCAGGGCAAAGGAGAAGGACGAGCUGCCUGGCUGGACUCGUGGCCUCCGGCGCCGGGCAGACGGUGCUGCACCCCGGGGCGCAGCGGGACGGGCUCAGGCUUCUGCAUCUCCCGCCCGAGCUGCGGCAGGUGACACCCGGCGCUCCGGCCUGGGCACGGAGAAGGGGCGGGGCCUGGGCACGAACCAGCUGAGGAGGGGGCGGGGCCUGGCGGCGCGGCUGGCACGGAGAGGACGGGGCCAAGUCGCGCGGGAGGCGUGGAAGUGCAGCCCCGUGCAUUCAAAACUGCUGCGGUGCCUCAACCAGGCUUUCCCCUACAUGGUGACGGGGAAAGGAUGGGAGACUGAAGGGACCCGGUUUCCCAAAGGCAGGUAGAGCCAGGACUAGAAUCCAGCUGCCCUAACCCCGCUCCCGUUCCCCUCCGUGUAAAUCCCGGAGUCGGCUGAAGGGAAAGGGGUCUUGCUCGGAGUCAUCCAGUCCAACCCCGGCUCUCUCCACACAAACCAUCCCGCACGAGCGCUCGUCUCACCUGUUCCUCCGGCUCCGCGACAAGCCCUGCCCUGCCCUGCCACCACGCUGUAAGGCACGUGGCUCGAGGGCACCACCACCCUGCUGCAGGGAAAGCAGGGGACAAGUACAUGGCCAAGGUGUUAUCCUGUCCACACGCUCUAGGGUCCCGGGAAGAGGAGCGUCCGCCCCGCGGAAAGGCGCACCUAGCGGGCCGGCCGGGGCUCGCCGGCAGCCGGUUGGAUAGCUUGAGCUGAAUGGCGCAGGCCGAUUGGCAGGGGCCUUUCCCCCCCCCCCCAAUCAGGAGACGGCAGGAGGAAGGCUUGCCCGCCCUGACCUAGGGGCGAGGGGACGUCACCCCUCGGACUUUCCUAUUGGUCCACUGUCCAUCGGGGGCGGAGCCUCCAGAAGGGACAAGAGGCCGCGUUUCGAGCAAAAAGGCGGGUUCGGCGACGGACGGCGGAGAGGAGCUGGUGGAGCUGGCCGGUGGGGAGGCGCGGUAACCCCGGAAGUGCCCUGAAGAGGCCGCACCCGGACGAGGUGAGGCGGAGCUCCUUGCACCCUCUGUGCCGGAGCGUGGCGGGGGCUGCACUUGGGCUGCAGUUGGGGACCUACGGCCCCUCUACAGGCCCGGGGGCAUGUCAGGCUGUGGGGAGUGACGUCCCGAGCCACGUGGGUGCUGCGUGGCUCGUAGUCCCUGUCAAGCACCGGUGCCCGGGGGGGUGGGCAGCAGUCGGGCUUGCAAGUUUCCGUUCCUUCCCUUAAGGCGCCAUUCGGGGGCGGCGGGCAAGGUCCCGGGGCUUUGGCCGCAGCCUUCCCUUAAGGCGUCAUGGGUCGGAGGGGGGAACGGAGGCUCAGGUCCGUAGCCAUUUCCGGUGCCCCCUUAAGGUGUCAUUUGUGGGGGCAGCGGGCAGGAUCGGUUUGUCUCUGCCUGCAGUCCUCCCUUAAGGUGUCAUUCAGGUGGGCAGCAGCAAAAUCCAUAGGCCCCCGCUGUCCUCCCUUAAGGUGCCAUUUGGGUCAGCAGUGGGUACGAUCCGAGCCUCUGUAGUUCUCCCUUAAGGCGCCUUUCAAAGGUGGGGCAGCGGGCAAGGUCCGUAGAGAUUGGCCCACAGCCCCUCCUUAAGGCGUCAUUUGGGGCUGCAGCAGGCAAGGGCUGGGAGGUCUCCGCUGUCUGCUCUCGGGGUCAUCUUGCCGAGCUGCCGUGUGGUGCUGCCCUGCUCGCAAAAGGGUCAAGCACUGACAGUCUUUCACACCCCCAAGCCUGAGCUACGGUGUGGUGCUGCCUAGCUCUAUGGGCGGUCAAACCCUGAUGGUCACUUGAGGGGCCUUGUGCCUUCUCAAGGCCAUCAGGAAGCACAAGACUAAUGGAAUUGAUGGGGCCGACACUACCUUGGUGCCUGGCAUCUUUCACCUCCAAGUUCAUCCUUCCCUGCUGUGCUGUUUCUCCUUUCCUUUCCUGUCAUUUCACCUCCAAGUUCCCCUGCCUGCUGCCCUCUUUCAUUUCUGCAGUGGUUCUCUUGUGACCACUGUGUGCUGAGUGCCUAGGAGCUGGUCACCCAGGAUGCUGAAUCCCUUGCUGAAAGGGAGUAGUGGCAGACGUCGCUUGAAUUGGCUCUCUGGGAGUCAAGUGUUGGAGAUUGGACUGGCCACCCAAGGCUGCAGCCCCUAAUCCUGCAAAGCAGGUCCCCUUUGGGGGUCUAUGCACAUCAUUCGCAGAAGGACAAGCAGACAAGACAGCAGGCGAGUAGGAGUGAGCUGACCAGGAGGGAAGAACACCAGGCCAGCCUAACAGGAGGCAAAGGCCUCGGAAGAACUGGAAGGACAAGCAGAUGGGGAAGUAGCUGGGAAGAGCCCCAAGAAAGAAAAGCAGACAAGACGGCAGACGAGCAAGUGAGGAAGAAAGAAACCCCAGGCCGCCCAGAGGGAUGGAAGGGUAAGGGAGUUUGGACACAAUGUCUGUCCCCUCUGCAAGUUGCAUCCCCAAAUUUUCGACCUUGUGAUUAGCGACUUGUGGAACGUUGGAGCACUGGGACCUCCUCAUACGCAGGAUUCGUGUCUUAGGUCCUGCUGUUGUCAUACACGGGUAACUGCUAGGGCAGUACUCAUCCUCUUGUAGUAAACCGGAGGUAUGUCACAACCCCCUUGUUUUUAAAGGACCCCAAGCUCGAGAGUACAAUGGGCACUGGGAGCUACAUUCUCUAUUUUUAGGGGGUGUGGGAUUCAUGGCCAGUCAACUCCACUUCUGUUUUGUGUACUCUUACAGGUCCCUGAAGGGCUGAUGGAGAAGAAGGAAUGGGAGCAGCAAAAGAAAGCUCGGGAACAGUGUAGGUUGGAGUGAGGAGGAGGAAGGGGAAUGUUUAAUGUCUGCUUAGAUAAGUACAGAUGGAGACUGUUGAGUUCAUCUCUACACUUUCAAACACCCUCUAGGAGCAAGCAGCCACACGCUUCAAGUUGCACCACGAAUUCAGUCUUGGGUUGGCCCCGAUUGUGUGGAAGGAGGUUGAGGCAUUGUGCUAGUCGUGCAUAUUGAUAUGCAGCAGUCAAGGGUUUUGCAGGUUGUGUGCAACGCAGUUGAGGCAUUGUGCUAGUUGUGCGUACUGAUAGGAAGCGGGUAACGGUUUUGCAGGUUGUCUGGCUUUGCUAGUUAAGCAGUGGAUCAGAAUAGAUGCAGCUGAAGGCCAUGUGUAGGUUUUCCUUGGUUGAGUUGUCACACGGUUCUUGGUGUUAGCGUAGAAAUGCAGGUUUGUGCUCGGUUCUGUUUGUGUCUUGCCUGUAGCUUGCUUAGGCUGUAGCUUGCAGGGCCAAUUUGAGGCUGUGUCAUGUACUUUGUUUGCGUAUGUAAGUUAAGGCUCCGUGGGUGUUUGAAAGUGUUUAAUCUCCAGCUCCAUGGCCCAUGAUGACGAAGGACUCAUCCUGUGUCCAAAUGAUCCUAAAGGUAGUUGGUGUGGUCAACAUCAAAUCGGUAGGAGCAAGCGGGCCUAAGAUAUGCGCAGUCAAACAAUAAAUGGUCUAAGAAACUUUGCUUCAUGGCUGGUUCUUUUCUAUGCUGAGAUUUGGGCAUGGGUCUUUCCUGUGGCGAGCUGGCUAAAGGAUGAACUUUUUCAGUCAGUCUGGCGAUCACAUCUGUGUUCUUACUUGUGGAAUGGAAAUAUUUCCCCUUCUGAUGGACCAGUGGUGAAAGAAUGUGUAACACAUGGUUGCUAGUCUUCAGUUUACAAUUGUUAAUGCACUUUUUCUUUUUGAAGAAAUAAAAUAUUACGUCCAGUGAAGAUGUGAUGCUUUGUAUAAUUUGGUGAAGUUCAGCUGUUCCCUGUCUAAGAAGCAAAAAUGGUCCCAAUAAAAAUAAAAUGCUUGUUUUGAGA